rnacentral:rRNA from 1 species
UGAGGAACAUGACCUUCGGCGGGGGAGUAGCCGGCCCAACGGCCGGGUAAUACCGCGUACGACCACAUGGGGACAUCCCUGAGUGGUGAAAGCAGCAAUGCGCCGAUGGAGUGCCUCGCGGCCUAUCAGCUAGUUGGUGAGGUAACGGCUCACCGAGGCGACGGACGGGUAGCUGGUCUGAGAGGAUGGCCAGCCCACAGUUUGGGACUGAGACACGGCCCAGACCUGUACGGGAGG